rnacentral:misc_RNA from 1 species
GAUGAAGAACGUAGCGAAAUGCGAUAAGUAAUGUGAAUUGCAGAAUUCAGUGAAUCAUCGAAUCUUUGAACGCACAUUGCGCCCCCUGGUAUUCCGGGGGGCAUGCCUGUUCGAGCGUCAUUUCAACCUUCAAGCCUCGCUUGGUAUUGGGCAACGCGGUCCGCCGCGUGCCUCAAAUCGACCGGCUGGGUCUUCUGUCCCCUAAGCGUUGUGGAAACUAUUCGCUAAAGGGUGUUCGGGAGGCUACGCCGUAAAACAACCCCAUUUCUAAGGUUGACCUCGGAUCAGGUAGGGAUACCCGCUGAACUUAAGCAUAUCAAUAAGCGGAGGA